rnacentral:rRNA from 1 species
AUUGAACGUUGGCGGCAUGGAUUAGGCAUGCAAGUCGAGCGAGAAGGGUUUUGAAGCUUGCUUUAGAACCCGGAAAGCGGCGAAAGGGAGAGUAACGAGUAGUUAUCUACCCCAAGGCCCGGAAUAGCUGCGGGAAACUGCAGGUAAUGCCGGAUAAUAUCCCCGGAUCAAAGGUGUGAUUCCGCCUUGGGAGGAGACUGCUUUGUACUAGCUUGUUGGUAGGGUAAUGGCCUACCAAGGCUACGAUGCAUAGCGGGCGUGAGAGCGUGGCCCGUCUCACUGGGACUGAAACACUGCCCAGACACCUACGGGUGGCUGCAGUCGAGAAUCUUCGGCAAUGGGCGAAAGCCUGACCGAGCGAUGCCGCGUGCGGGAUGAAGGCCCUCGGGUUGUAAACCGCUGUCGUAGAGGAGAAAGGUCUCGUGAAGAGCGAGAUUUGAUCUAUUCUAGGAGGAAGUCGGGGCUAAGUUCGUGCCAGCCGCCGCCGUAACAC